CCUACGGGAGGCAGCAGUGGGGAAUAUUGGGCAAUGGAGGAAACUCUGACCCAGCGACGCCGCGUGCGGGAUGAAGGCCUUCGGGUUGUAAACCGCUUUCAGCAGGGAAGAAGCGAAAGUGACGGUACCUGCAGAAGAAGCACCGGCUAACUAUGUGCCAGCAGCCGCGGUAAUACAUAGGGUGCAAGCGUUGUCCGGAAUUAUUGGGCGUAAAGAGCUCGUAGGUGGUUCGUCACGUCGGAUGUGAAAAUCUGGGGCUUAACCCCAGACCUGCAUUCGAUACGGGCGAGCUUGAGUAUGGUAGGGGAGUCUGGAAUUCCUGGUGUAGCGGUGGAAUGCGCAGAUAUCAGGAGGAACACCAAUGGCGAAGGCAGGACUCUGGGCCAUUACUGACACUGAGGAGCGAAAGCGUGGGGAGCGAACAGGAUUAGAUACCCUGGUAGUCCACGCCGUAAACGGUGGGCACUAGUUGUGGGGACCUUCCACGGUCUCUGCGACGCAGCUAACGCAUUAAGUGCCCCGCCUGGGGAGACGANCGCAGAUAACUUAAAUAGAGUAGAGCGNGAGACGNGCGAGCGACGACGAGGGAGAG
rnacentral:rRNA from 1 species